AUUGAACGCUGGCGGCAGGCCUAACACAUGCAAGUCGAGCGGAUGAGAGGAGCUUGCUCCUUGAUUUAGCGGCGGACGGGUGAGUAAUGCCUGGGAAUCUGCCUGGUAGUGGGGGAUAACGCUCCGAAAGGAACGCUAAUACCGCAUACGUCCUACGGGAGAAAGCAGGGGACCUUCGGGCCUUGCGCUAUCAGAUGAGCCUAGGUCGGAUUAGCUAGUUGGUGAGGUAAUGGCUCACCAAGGCGACGAUCCGUAACUGGUCUGAGAGGAUGAUCAGUCACACUGGAACUGAGACACGGUCCAGACUCCUACGGGAGGCAGCAGUGGGGAAUAUUGGACAAUGGGCGAAAGCCUGAUCCAGCCAUGCCGCGUGUGUGAAGAAGGUCUUCGGAUUGUAAAGCACUUUAAGUUGGGAGGAAGGGCAUUAACCUAAUACGUUAGUGUUUUGACGUUACCGACAGAGUAAGCACCGGCUAACUUCGUGCCAGCCGCCGCCGUAAGAC
rnacentral:rRNA from 1 species